UACGGGGGGGGCAAGCGUUGUUCGGAUUUACUGGGCAUAAAGGGCGCGUAGGCGGCAAUUCAAGUCAUCUGUGAAAUCUCCGGGCUUAACUCGGAACGGUCAGGUGAAACUGCUUUGCUAGAGUGCGGAAGGGGCAAUCGGAAUUCUCGGUGUAGCGGUGAAAUGCGUAGAUAUCGAGAGGAACACCUGAGGUGAAGACGGGUUGCUGGGCCGACACUGACGCUGAAGCGCGAAAGCCAGGGGAGCAAACGGG
rnacentral:rRNA from 1 species